AAAAAAGCAGGGGCAUGUUGCCUUUUUGUGGACAGGCUUCUCGUAAACUUCAGGGAAAGUAGUUUUGCAUUGUUGGGUGAGCCUCUCGAGUAGUUUAAUGACUGAAGGUUCAGUUAAUGAUGGUACAUUA